CUUAACUAUUUUCUUGUUGUUUAGAAAUUCAUUGAGUUUGAAGAUUCUCAAGAACAAGAGAAAAAGGACUUGCAGACCAGAGUGGAAGCAUUAGAGUCACAAACUCGACAACUUGAGCUAAAAGCAAAAAACUAUGCUGAUCAAAGCUUAUCAGGAGUUUGAGGCAGAGGACAACAUACAGAUGAAGGGUGUUCCAAACUUGGUAAAAGCCAUCAGACUUGGGAGAUGGAGAAAGUGGUGUGCUUCUUUAUGGAACCUCAACCCCUGUGCAAGCGUGUGUUGUAUCCAUAACAGUGGGAAAUGCUUUUGAGGAUUUCCUGAAGGCUGGUUUUGGGCAGCUGCAAAGAAGGGUGUUGGUAACACCUGAUGUGGUGUUAAUCUUCAUUAAAUGUACUGUUGAGUACUU